rnacentral:rRNA from 1 species
CCUACGGGGAGCAGCAGUGGGGAAUCUUGCGCAAUGGGCGAAAGCCUGACGCAGCGACGCCGCGUGAGGGAUGAAGGUCUUCGGAUCGUAAACCUCUGUCAGCAGGGAAGUACGGUCACUGUGCUAAUCAGCAGUGAAUUGACGGUACCUGCAAAGGAAGCACCGGCUAACUCCGUGCCCGCAGCCGCGGUAAUACGGAGGGUGCGAGCGUUAAUCGGAAUUACUGGGCGUAAAGCGCGCGUAGGCGGUAUGUCAAGUCAAGGGUGAAAUCCCCGCGCUCAACGGGGGAACUGCCUUUGAAACUGGCAAACUGGAGUGUGUGAGAGGAUAGUGGAAUUCCAGGUGUAGGAGUGAAAUCCGUAGAUAUCUGGAGGAACAUCAGUGGCGAAGGCGACUAUCUGGCACAUAACUGACGCUGAGGAGCGAAAGCGUGGGUAGCAAACAGGAUUAGAUACCCGAGUAGUC